UAAGGAAUAUUGGUCAAUGGACGCAAGUCUGAACCAGCCAUGCCGCGUGGAGGAUGAAGGUCCUCUGGAUUGUAAACUUCUUUUAUCUGGGAAGAAAUGCACUUUUUCUAGGGUGUUUGACGGUACCAGAAGAAUAAGCACCGGCUAACUCCGUGCCAGCAGCCGCGGUAAUACGGAGGGUGCGAGCGUUAUCCGGAUUCACUGGGUUUAAAGGGUGCGUAGGUGGGCGAUUAAGUCAGUGGUGAAAUCUCCGGGCUCAACCCGGAAACUGCCAUUGAUACUAUUUGUCUUGAAUAUCGUGGAGGUAAGCGGAAUAUGUCAUGUAGCGGUGAAAUGCUUAGAUAUGACAUAGAACACCAAUUGCGAAGGCAGCUUACUACCCGAAUAUUGACACUGAGGCACGAAAGCGUGGGGAUCAAACAG
rnacentral:rRNA from 1 species